ACGGCGAGUGAAGCGGCAACAGCUCAAAUUUGAAAUCUGGCUCUCGGGCCCGAGUUGUAAUUUGUAGAGGAUGCUUUUGGUGAGGUGCCUUCCGAGUUCCCUGGAACGGGACGCCAUAGAGGGUGAGAGCCCCGUCUGGUUGGACACCGAGCCUCUGUAAAGCUCCUUCGACGAGUCGAGUAGUUUGGGAAUGCUGCUCUAAAUGGGAGGUAUAUGUCUUCUAAAGCUAAAUAUUGGCCAGAGACCGAUAGCGCACAAGUAGAGUGAUCGAAAGAUGAAAAGCACUUUGAAAAGAGAGUUAAAAAGCACGUGAAAUUGUUGAAAGGGAAGCGCUUGUGACCAGACUUGGGCUUGGUUAAUCAUCCGGCGUUCUCGCCGGUGCACUUUUCCAGUCCAGGCCAGCAUCAGUUUGCCUUGGGGGAUAAAAGCUUCGGGAAUGUGGCUCCUCCGGGAGUGUUAUAGCCCGUUGCACAAUACCCUGGGGCGGACUGAGGUUCGCGCAUUCGCAAGGAUGCUGGCGUAAUGGGUCAUCAGCG
rnacentral:rRNA from 1 species